UAAAAAGCGCUGAUCGGGACGAGUACUUCCCGGAGAAGUCCAAGAGAGAGCAGGUCAUCGGCUGAAAGCCUGCUUGACUGGAAGGGUAGGAAAACCCCCCGUGAGCGGGUCCCUCAAAUCACGAUGAAGUGAGAGUAUGGGACCACGGUACGGUCCGUUAUUGCCGGAGAGUGUCAUAGCAACCCGAGAGUUUGCUGUGAAACUUGGGUGGAACCACGCGGGAAUCCCCCGCGCCCCAGGG
rnacentral:ncRNA from 1 species